AUGGCUGCGCGCGGCGGCGGAGCAUGCAACGCGAGCGCUCUAACCAUAUCUCACCGAAUCCUGCCGCCGCGCCCGUCCCGCACGCCGUGGCCGAUGACCGCGCCCCUCCCCGUCGAUGGAUUUCUCGCAGCUUGGCUGCGUCUUGCUUUGGAUCCGGGCGCGUGGCUGUCCAAAAUCAAGCUCCCCAACAACUGGACAAUGGAGCACAUCCGGCAGCUUGUCACGCUUUGGGCUCGGCUGAGGGCCAUCCCCCUCGCGGUGGACGCCGAGGACACCAUCACCUGGAAACAUACUGCCAGCGGAAUCUACUCUGCCACAUCCGCGUACAGUGCGCAACUCCUUGGGCUGGUCAGCUCGCCCAUGGGCUUCGCCGUUUGGAAAGCAUGGGCUCCCCCUAAGAUGAAAUUCUUUGCUUGGCUGGCAAUCCAAAACCGAGUCUGGACGGCGGAUAGAUUGGAGAGGAGAGGGUGGCCGAACUGCGGCCUAUGUCCACUCUGCAAGCAGACGUUGGAAACGGCGAGCCACAUCUUCUUCAAGUGUCGGUACUCCAUUAGACUGUGGGGCCUGAUCAAAGGCUGGCUCAAGCUAGACUACCUCGACAUCUCCUCCUGGAUCACGAUGCGCUCCAUCAAGGACUGCUGGCUCAACAUGUCCAACUCCAGCAUGCCCAACCGGAAGGCGAUGGCUUCUCUUGCUAUGCUGACCUGCUGGACCAUUUGGUGCGAGAGAAAUGCACGGGUGUUUCGUCACAAAUCCACGCUUCCGUCUGUAUUGUUCUCCAACAUUAAGACCGACGCCAACCUUUGGGUAAUUGCGGGUGCUAAGCACUUGGGUCAAAUCAUGCCGGGAGAGUAG
rnacentral:rRNA from 1 species